AAUAGUUGGGUGUUACAAUUUACCUUAAACAUUUACUUUCUAUACAAAUAGGAAUUGAAGUGUGAGGAUACAUUAUAAGGAUUGAUGUGUGCACAGGAUCAAUCAGAUACGGCGAGUAUAGAAAAGAGUUUUUUGACAUGUUAAUUGCAUGAUACAACAAGCUUAGCUAUAGAUCAUAAAUUUUAUUAAUUUGCACAACUAGAAAAGUAAAAGUUAAAAAUCU
rnacentral:lncRNA from 1 species